GGGAGCUGGCUAAUGAAUGGUGCUUGAUGACAGAUGAGUAAUGCCUGUUGCUUAAAGAUUGACAGUAUGAGGCAAGACUCCCAUUGCUACUUUAGAGGAAUUGAGAUUGACCUACCCAUAAAUUCAGACAAUGUCUUGAAGAGACUUUGGGAACAAGAUAUUCAGGCACAUUCCACUGUUAGAUUCACAGGGUGCCAGCCAUUGAUCUUUCCCUUUGUGGACUCAGUGAUCUUUGAGGAAGUGGCUAAGGACUUCACCCCGGAGGAGUGGACUUUACUGGAUCAAACUCAGAGAAACUUAUACAGAGAUGUGAUGCUGGAGAACUACAAGAAUCUGGUUGCAGUAGAUUGGAAGAUUCAUAUUAAUAUCAAAUGGACAGCACCUCAGCAGAAUUUUUUUCAGGGGAAACAUCCAGUAUGGUGGAAAUGGAGAGAAACCACUUUGGAGAGAAACUGUUUGACUUUAACCAAUGUUAAAAAAACCUUGAGUGAACGCUCAUGCCUUAAGACUCACAGGAGAACUUACUUUAGAAAAAAAGCCUGUGAGCAUAAUCAGUGUGAAAAAGCCUUCACAAAACCCUCUACCUUUACUUUACACAAGAAGACUGAUAUUGGAGAGGAACUUCCCAACUGUAAUCAAUGUGAAACAGCCUUCAGCCACCAUCUACUUGUCUGCAGGAAAACUCACACUCGAGAAACCAUAUUAAUGCAGUGACUGUGAAAAAGGCUUACCUUCCUCGUCACACCUUAGAGAAUGUGUAAGAAUUUAUGCUGGAGAGAGACCAGAUACUUGUAAGGAGUGUGUCAAAACCUUUUCUCAUUCUACAGGCCUUUUCGUACACAUGCAAACUCAUGAUGGAGAAAAACUCCAUGAAUGUAAAGCAUGCGGGAAACCCUUCACUCAGUCUUCAUAUCUUACUCAGCAUUUAAGAAUUCAUAGUAGAGUGUUACCUAUAGGAUGUAAGAAAUUUGGCAAAGCCGUUGCUAAAGACCUAGCACUAGGAGAAAACACUAUGUUUGUAAUGAAUGUGGCAAAGAGUUUACUUGUUUCUCAAAACUCAACAUUCACAUAAGGGUUCACACUGGAGAAAAACCUUAUGAGUGUAACAAAUGUGAGAAAGCCUUUACUGAUUCUUCAGGUCUUAAAAAACACAGGCGAACUCACACUGGAGAAAAGCCUUAUGAAUGUAAGGAAUGUGGGAAAGCUUUUGCUAACUCUUCACAUCUUACUGUACAUAUGAGAACCCACACUGGUGAAAAGCCUUAUCAGUGUAAGGAAUAUGGAAAAGCCUUUAUUAAUUCCUCUUUCUUUAAAAGUCACAUGCAGACCCACCCUGGUGUAAAGCCCUAUGACUGUCAACAGUAUGGGAAAGUUUUUAUUCGAUCCUCAUUUCUUAUUCAUCAUUUAAGAAGUCACAGUGCAGAAAGGCCUUUUGAAUGUGAAGAAUGUGGGAAAGCCUUUAGAUACUCCUCGUACCUUAGUCAGCAUAAAAGAACACACGCAGGGGAGAGGCCAUAUAAAUGUCAAAAAUGUGGGCAAGCCUUCACUGUCUCAUCAGGCCAUACAGUAGACAUGAGAACUCACACUGGUGAAUGACCCUUUGAAUGUCAGGAAUGUGGGAAAUGCUUUACUCGGUCCACAUAUCUUAUUCAACAUCUAAGAAGUCAGAGUGGGGAGAAACCAUAUAAAGAAUGUGGGUAAACCUUUAGUAAUUCCUCAUGUCUCACUGAAUGUGUAAGAAUUCACACUUUAGCUUAUACUUGGAAAGACUGUGGUAAAGCCACUAAUACUUCACACUUACUGAACAUGUACUCAUUCACAGUGGCAAUGUACACAAUCAUAAGGAAUGUGGGAAGCCUUCCUUGGUUUCACAGAUGUCAACAAUUCCAAUAGAAGAGAAGCUAUAUGAAUGUAAGGAAUGUGGGAAAGUCUUGGCUCCUUCCAUAGGCCUUACUUACUAUUCAUGUGUCUGUGCAUCCUAGGAAACAAACAGAAUAUAGGAAACCGUCAAUCAUUGUUCACAUCUUACUGAGUCUGAACUCAUGCUGGAGAGAAAUGCUAUGAAUGUGAGGAAGGUGGAAAAGCUUUCAUUGUUUUCCUCAGACCUUGCUGAGCUUGUGAGCACACUGGAUAUAAAUGCACAUCCUCUGAACGUAAGGAAUGUGUUGAAACCUUUUGCUCUCCUUAUACCUUAAUAUUCAACUGUGAUCUCACAAGUGUGAAAAAAUCUAAUGAAUGUAAGAUGUGUAGAGAUUUUUCUCUGUUUUUAGCUUCCACUUUGUGAAUGUGUCAAAGCACACUUUGAGAAGUCCCAUGAAUGAAAGAGAUGUCGGAAAGCCCUUGAUUGUUCUUGGCCAUUAGUAAACAUGAUCCACACUGAAGAGGAACUCUGACUGUGUGGAAGGUCAGAAAGCCUGUAUUAAUUUACGUGCAAAAAGUCACACUAGAGGAAUGCCGUACCAGAACCUGCGUUUGUAAAUAUACGUGUUUCAAAGAUGUAUAUAUUUUUAAUAAAAAUAUCUAGCUGAUUUGAA